rnacentral:lncRNA from 1 species
UAAAAUAUCUCAUUGUCAGGUAGCCCGAGAGAAAGCCUUGUGCGUGCAAUUGUGUCCAAAACUAGAAAGCAAGUAAAGGAUUACAAUUUGUCUUAAAUCUUGAAUGCUCCUUUCCAUGUUUGGGUUGAAUGAUUGUCCAAGGCUUUUUGCAAAGGAUCCUAAUGAGUCUCUAAGUCCAUUAUCCAAAGUCUAUUACAUGCUAAGGGAGU